GGAUUCAAGGUGUACAGCUUCCUGUGAGAAUGUAAACUGGCAGUUCUCUGUGGUGGCCUGCCGGGGUGCCAAAGGUCCUUUUAAUGCCUUUGAAAAGAUGCAUUGUCCUGAGUCAUCCAAGAGGAUGAACAGUGUGAGCUUGGAGCUAGACUGAAGACUCUCCGUCCUCUGCCUGAAUCCACAUGCAGUCCCUUUGGCAAUUGAAGUUACAAGGAUAACAUCUCUUUUGUUGACAUAAAACAUGGGAGCUUCAGUGGCAGGAUCUCAUUAUCUGAUUACAGAUGUGACUUUGAAGUAAUCUCUCUGAAUGAGCAUUUUAGGAAGAGUUGUUGCUCCCAGGCCAAGCCCAAGGUUGUGGAAGAGGAUUUGCAAAGGGCAUCAGAAAAGAUGACUGAAAGGGUUCUCCAUUCCCAAGCAAGAGGGAACCCUGAUGGCCAGAAGGAACACAGGAACCACAGCGCAUGGCACAGAACAGUGACCAGGAAGGCCGAAGG
rnacentral:lncRNA from 1 species